rnacentral:rRNA from 1 species
CAAGUUUUAAGUUUGAAAGAUGCAAUUGCAUCACUCAAAGAUGAUCCCGCGUUGUAUUAGCUAGUUGGUGAGGUAAAGGCUCACCAAGGCGAUGAUACAUAGCCGACCUGAGAGGGUGAUCGGCCACAUUGGGACUGAGACACGGCCCAAACUCCUACGGGAGGCAGCAGUAGGGAAUCUUCGGCAAUGGACGAAAGUCUGACCGAGCAACGCCGCGUGAGUGAAGAAGGUUUUCGGAUCGUAAAACUCUGUUGGUAGAGAAGAACGUUGGUGAGAGUGGAAAGCUCAUCAAGUGACGGUAACUACCCAGAAAGGGACGGCUAACUACGUGCCAGCAGCCGCGGUAAUACGUAGGUCCCGAGCGUUGUCCGGAUUUAUUGGGCGUAAAGCGAGCGCAGGUGGUUUAUUAAGUCUGGUGUAAAAGGCAGUGGCUCAACCAUUGUAUGCAUUGGAAACUGGUAGACUUGAGUGCAGGAGAGGAGAGUGGAAUUCCAUGUGUAGCGGUGAAAUGCGUAGAUAUAUGGAGGAACACCGGUGGCGAAAGCGGCUCUCUGGCCUGUAACUGACACUGAGGCUCGAAAGCGUGGGGAGCAAACAGGAUUAGAUACCCUGGUAGUCCACGCCGUAAACGAUGAGUGCUAGAUGUAGGGAGCUAUAAGUUCUCUGUAUCGCAGCUAACGCAAUAAGCACUCCGCCUGGGGAGUACGACCGCAAGGUUGAAACUCAAAGGAAUUGACGGGGGCCCGCACAAGCGGUGGAGCAUGU